rnacentral:rRNA from 1 species
CGUACACUCCUGCGGGAGGCAGCAGUGGGGAAUAUUGGACAAUGGGCGCAAGCCUGAUCCAGCCAUGCCGCGUGAGUGAUGAAGGCCCUAGGGUUGUAAAGCUCUUUCACCGGUGAAGAUAAUGACGGUAACCGGAGAAGAAGCCCCGGCUAACUUCGUGCCAGCAGCCGCGGUAAUACGAAGGGGGCUAGCGUUGUUCGGAUUUACUGGGCGUAAAGCGCACGUAGGCGGACUAUUAAGUCAGGGGUGAAAUCCCGGGGCUCAACCCCGGAACUGCCUUUGAUACUGGUAGUCUUGAGUUCGAGAGAGGUGAGUGGAAUUCCGAGUGUAGAGGUGAAAUUCGUAGAUAUUCGGAGGAACACCAGUGGCGAAGGCGGCUCACUGGCUCGAUACUGACGCUGAGGUGCGAAAGCGUGGGGAGCAAACAGGAUUAGAAACCCCUGUAGUCCCAU